rnacentral:lncRNA from 1 species
UAGCAAGCAGAGAGGCCGUGUGUGGCUCCCGGGCCUGCGGUUCCUCCCCACCAGGCCACUCUUCCCCCCCUUUUCCUCUCCCCUGCCUUCUCCCCCACUGACCCAGCUCCUGGUCCAGCCUCCUCCUGUCCCAUCUCCUCCCCCGCCCUUACCUCACUGUCCCUCCCCUGCCCCUCACCCAGCCCCCAGCCCCUGUCUCCUCCAUCCCUGGCCCUCCCUCACCUUCUCUCCUGUCCACUUGAGCUGUGACCACUGCAGGGGGCCUGGAGCCCUGGGCCCAGUGUCAGCUGCACCCCCUUUUUGUCUCUGUUGGAAACAGGACCAUCACUCCCUUCCAUACCCAGAGCUGGCCAGUGAGCACGGGUGUCACCUGUGGAACUCACGGCAAGGCCACAGGAUGGUCACAGAGCAGGGACCAAGCCAUCAUCCUCAUCCUGCCUUGGCCACCAACCCAUCCAUCUGCCACACACCAGGACCUCUGAAGCAGCGGAGCAGUGGGCCAGGCGCCUGGCACCACAUGCAAGCAGAACUAUCCCAUUCUCAUCCUCUGGUCAGGGACGGGGCACUCCCAGAAGCCAUGUCCACCAGCCCUGGCAGAGGCGGCGCAGCUGAGCAGAUGCAGAGUGUCAAGUCACAGCAGGUCACUCAGAGCCCUGGGGGCCAGGACCCUCGCUACACCGCCCCCGACAGGCCUGGGCUCUUCCUCCUCUGCCAUGGCUGCUCCCCCAGCCAGCUGCCCUGCCCUGCCCUGCACAUCAGUGUCCGCUUCCUCCAGACAGUGCCAGGCCACAAGAGCACCUGUCAGAGCGGCUUCCCAGGGAAUCAGGAUGGUGUCCUUAGCAGCCAUGGGGCUCCCUCCCGACUUCAGAAUGGACAGUGCCCGCCACCAGCCAGCCAAACACAGGCCAGAACAAGCAGAGCUCUGGGCAGCUUGUUUUCCACCUAUUAACACUAAUCUGUUUUUCUUCUGCAUUUCCAAAUUCCUCCCUUCAGGUCUCAGACACAGUAUGCACAGCCAGAUGAGACCGGCUUAGUCCCGGCUUUGCCGCUUAUGAACAGUGUGACCCUGGGAAGCGCUGACAACCCUCCUGACCAUGACUGCUUNUGGGUAUUGAUCGGGAUUCUAAAGAGCCUGAGGUUGGGACUGGUCAGGGCCUCCUGGCCCACAAUGGGGUGAUCACAGUAAUGGGCAGGAACCCCUACUGGCACAGGGUGUUAGGCUGACGUGGUCACCACAGACACGUCCAAGGGAGACUUUCUGAACAGGUGCCAGUCUGUCUUUGGGCACUUUAAUUACAGCUCCAAGUUUGGCAGGGGAGUUGUUACUACUGACUUAGUCCCGCUCUGGUAGCUCUGGAUGGGCUGAGGCUGCCCUGGACAGGAGGUGGAUUUUGUGGGGUCAUUUGAGCUGGGUCCUGGGUCUGUGACUGGGUGACACCAUCUCAUUCUGCUGCCUGGCUGGGACCCAGUUUUCUAAUGACAAAGAGGGAGACCUCAUCUUGUUUAUCCACUUAGUGAUUCCAAAACCUCUGGGGACUUGUAUGUGUCUAAAAGUGGGGACCCCGGGCCUCCAGGGCUUCAGGAUUCCAGGGGAACUCGGGGCAAGAAGGAGGCUGCGGAUGGAGGGCACCCAGGCUGACUGGGGGCGUGGGAGGGGCGGGGCGGGGGGCGAGGCAGGUUCUAUGAGGUUCAGGCCCCACAGCCCCCAUCAGGGCAGCCCACGCCUGCCAGCACCUGAGCCGAGCAAGCCCAAAAUAGAAAGAACCAAAUAAGGUAAAGCCGCGCCUCACCUUAGAACUGCCUGCAGAUCAGCCGCUCAUGCAGCCUGCGCUGCUGUCAAGUGACAGCGGGCAGACGUCUACUGAGGAGCCCCGAGCAGGUGGUCCACUCAGCCCAGCCCACCCCAGGGCCAGCUGGGGCAUCUGUACAGGCGAAGGGAUCCAGCAUGGCCAAGCAGUGGACUGGGCCCAGUGAUGAGCACUUGGGACUGCAGAGUGCUGGGUGGAAUUGUAGGGUCCCCAGCUCGACCAGGGACUGGGGGGGUCAGCUCUGCAGACCCAGGGGGCAGAGCAUGCAGGCCAGCAUUGAGGGCCCACAUGAGAUGGAUCUGGAAGGCAGAGAUUUGAGGACCCUCAGGAUGAAUUCCACAGCACGGUCUGUGACUGUGAUGGACACCUGGCCCCAAGAGAGGCCAUGUCUGACAGGGCCUCGGGCACUGCAGGGCUGCGUCCCCACGGCCUGUCUGACAAGAGCUUGGUCCCCACACCCUCCCCAGACCACAUCCCAAGUCAGUUCUGCUGAGACCAGAGGCUUCACUUUCCCCCUGUGGGAGAUGGAGGAGCUGCGUCUCCUCCUGACCCAGCUGUGGAAAGUCACAGGGAAACAGGGAAGGGUGGGGUCAAACCCAUGCGUCCCUCGGAACGUACCUCAGGCCACAUCGGGAGGCCAUCAGACUCAGAUUGUGCUCAAGCCAAACAGGUAAGCCCUGGCACAGGUAAGCCAUGGCACAGGUAAGCCCUGGCAGAGGUUAGCCAUGGCACAGGUAAGCCAUGGCACAGGUAAGUCCUGGUACAGGUAAGCUGCGGCAAAGGUAAGCCAUGGCACAGGUAAGCCGUGGCACAGGUAAGCCCCAACAGAGGUAAGCCCAGGUAAGCCCCGGCACAGGUAAGCCCUGGCACAGGUAAGCCCCACUGUUGUCUGCAGAGGAAGGGAGGAAGUUGGACCAAGUGCUCAGCCCUGAUGUCAGACCUGGGUGGGAGGAGUUGGAAAGCCACAUGGCUGGGUGUCAGCUGGGGCUGAAUGUGGCCUGGAGGAAGCCCCUCCUCCCUGAGGAAAGCCCACCACCUGCAGACCCCAGGGCCAGGUGGGGCAGUUGCUGUUUGGGGUGGGGGUGCCUGAAGGAGGCACCCCCACAGAGCUGAGCCUUCCAGAUGGCCGACCACGGCCCUGGUGCCCGGGGCUGCAGCACGUGGUCUGUGUGCCAAGCUCUGAGCAGGCCUGUCCCUCUCAGUGGUGUCCACAGCCUCCUCAUCACCCAUGGGGCCUGUGACGUCAGCAAGCAGAGAGGCCGUGUGUGGCUCCUGGGCCUGCGGUUCCUCCACACUGGGCCACUCUUGCCCCCUUCUCCUCUCCCCUCCCUUCUCCCCCACUGACCCAGCUCCUGGUCCAGCCUCCUCCUGUCCCAUCUCCUCCCCUGCCUUCACCUCACUGUCCCUCCCCUGCCCCUCACCCAGCCCCCAGCCCCUGUCUCCUCCCUCCCUGGCCCUCACUCACCGUCUCUCCUGUCCACCUGGGCUGUGACCACUGCAGGGGGCCUGGAGCCCUGGGCCCAGCGUCAGCUGCACCCCCCUUUUGUCUCUGUUGGAAGCAGGACCAUCACUCCCUUCCACACCCAGAGCUGGCCAGUGAGCACGGGCGUCACCUCUGAAACUCGCGGCAAGGCCACAGGAUGGUCACAGAGCAGGGACCAAGCCAUCAUCCUCAUCCUGCCUUGGCCACCAACCCAUCCAUCUGCCACACACCAGGACCCCAGAAGCAGUGGGGCAGAGGGCCAGGCGCCUGGCACCAUGUGCAGGCAGAACCACCCCAUUCUCAUCCUCUGGUCAGGGACGGGCACUCCCAGAGGCCGUGUCCACCAGCCCUGGCAGAGACGGGGCAGCUGAGCGGAUGCAGAGUGUCAAGUCACAGCAGGUCCCUCAGAGCCCUGGGGGGCCAGGACCCUUGCUGCACCGCCCCUGACAGGCCUGGGCUCUUCCUCCUCUGCCAUGGCUGCUUCCCCAGCCAGCUGCCCUGCCCUGCCCUGCACAUCAGUAUCCGCUCCCUCCAGAAGGUGCCAGGCCACGAGAGCACCUGCCAGAGCAGCCUCCCAGGGAAUCAGGAUGGUGUCGUUAGAGCCACGGGGCUCCCCCCCCCCGACUCCAGGAUGGACAGUGCCCGCAGCCAGCCAGCCAAACACAGGCCAGAACAAGCAGAGCUCUGGGCAGCUUGUCUUCCACCUAUUAACACUAAUCUGUUUUUCUUCUGCAUUUCCAAAUUCCUCCCUUCAGGUCUCAG